rnacentral:ncRNA from 1 species
CAGUUAGAAAAAUCCUCACUUUCCAUAAGGCCUAUAUAUAUAUAUAUAUAUAUAUAUAUAUAUAUAUAUAUAUUUUUUUUUUUUUUUUGCCAAGAAUGUUCUCACCAAUCAAGAACGAAAGUCGGAGAUUCAAAGACGACCAGACACCAUCACAGUUCCGACCAUAAACGAUGCCAACUGGCGAUGCGGCGGCGCCAUUCCCAUGACCCGCCAGGCAGCCUCUGGGAAACCAAAGCCCUUGGGCUCUG